rnacentral:tRNA from 1 species
GCUUUUAAACGAUAGUAGUUAUCCAUUGGUCUUAGGAGCGAAAAAUAUUGAUGCAACUCCAAAUAAAAGCA